UGGAGCAUGUGGUUUAAUUCGAUGCAACGCGAAGAACCUUACCAGCCCUUGACAUCCUCGGAAUCCUGCAGAGAUGCGGGAGUGCCUUCGGGAGCCGAGAGACAGGUGCUGCAUGGCUGUCGUCAGCUCGUGUCGUGAGAUGUUGGGUUAAGUCCCGCAACGAGCGCAACCCUUGUCUUUAGUUGCCAUCAUUAAGUUGGGCACUCUAAAGAGACUGCCGGUGUCAAACCGGAGGAAGGUGGGGAUGACGUCAAGUCCUCAUGGCCUUUAUGACCAGGGCUACACACGUACUACAAUGGCAGGUACAAAGGGCAGCCACUUAGCGAUAAGGCGCGAAUCCCGUAAAACCUGUCUCAGUCCGGAUUGGAGUCUGCAACUCGACUCCAUGAAGUUGGAAUCGCUAGUAAUCGCAGAUCAGCACGCUGCGGUGAAUACGUUCCCGGGCCUU
rnacentral:rRNA from 1 species